rnacentral:misc_RNA from 1 species
AAACUGCGAUAAGUAGUGUGAAUUGCAUUUAGUGAAUCAUCGAAUCUUUGAACGCACCCUGCACUCACUGGUAUUCCGGUGAGUACGCCUGUUUCAUUAUCAUUGAAAACACACAAUCAAAACAUUUUCUUUGGUUUGAUUGGCUUUGGGUCUAUCAAAAAGUUUGGCUUGUUUCUUACAAGCCAAGCGGCCUGAAAUAUAUUGUCUGGCUAAUUGCAUCGUUGAUGAUCGCUAUUAGACUUUGGCUUUUUUAAAUGAACUGGAGGUUGAUUAACCAGUUUUAGCUUUAGUCAAAUGGUCAUUGUAAAAAAAAUCUCGAUCUUGGCUAGGUGUUUAUAGCCGAAAAUUUUUUUUUGGCUAUAACCGAAACCAAUAUAAUCACAUUUAGUUAUCGAUCUGAAAUCAGGUGGGACUACCCGCUGAACUUAAGC